rnacentral:lncRNA from 1 species
GCACCAGCCACCCCUGAACCACAGGAAGGUCAUGCAUGAGCCAUGUGUGAACCACACCCAGCUGACAUGUCCCGCACUGCUGUGUCAUGUGGCCGCCUCACCUGAGUCAUGUGUCAGCCAUGCCUGCAUAACGUGUGAGCCACGCCUGACUCAGGUCUCAGCCGUGCCGAUGUCACGUGCCAGCCUGGUCUACACCAAGUGCCAGUCACACUUGAACCACAGGUCAGCCUCAUUUGAAGCACGUGUCAGCCACACUGGCACAACUUGCCUGCCAUGCCUGAACCACGUGAUAACCAUGCCACAAACACAGGUGAGUCACACUGGAGCAGUACCACAGCUGUGCAUGUACCACACGUGAGGCAUGUGUGAGCCAUAUGUGGCAAAAGCUUGAAUCAUGUGUCAGAUACGUGGGAGCCAGUGCUGUGUCAUGCCUGCCUCAUGUGUGAGCCAUGGCUGAGCUAUGCCUGAAACACCUGUCAAAGUGUCCUCUACCAUUUGGGACCCAGAAGAGUCAUGCUUCAGCCACGCCUGAAUUACAUCUGAACCAUGUGUGAGCCAUGCAGGAACCACAUGGGAGACACCCUUGAAGCACAUUUGAAACACCUGUGAAACACAAUGAUCGAUGCUUGAACCACACAUGAACCACAGGGGAGCCACCCAUGAGACACAGCUGAGCCAUGCGUGAGCCACGUGGCAGCCAUGACUGAGUAUGUUGGAGCCACGUUUCCACAACCUGUAGUCACGUGGGAGCCACCCAUGUACGGCAUGUGACUCCUGCAUGAUGACAUUUCCAUCACACAUGGAUACUGGGCAAUGAAUGCCUGAGUCACGUGUCAGCCAUGCCUGAUACAUGUGUCAGCCACACCAGAGUCCUGUUUCACACAUGCCAGAGUCACAUCUCACCCACACCCGAACCACCUGUCACCCAUGCAUGCACCAUGCACCAGCCACCCCUGAACCACACGAAGGCCGUGCAUGAACCAUGUGUGAACCACACCUGCGUGAUGUGUCAGGCACGCCUGUGUCACGCUUCCACCUCACCUGAGUCAUGUGUCAGCCACGCCUGAACAACGUGUGAACCACGCCUGUGUCAAGGCUCAGCCGCGCCAAGUCACAUGCCAGGCAGGCCUGAACCAAGUGCCAGUCACACUUGAACCACAGGUCAGCGUCACUUGAAGCACGUGUCAGUCACACCGGCACAACCUGCCUGCCAUGCCUGAAUCAUGUGCCACCCCUGCCAAAAACACAUGUGAGCCACUCCUGACCAACACCACAGACAUGCAGGAGCCACACCUGAACCAUGUGUGAGCCAUGCGUGACCAAAGCCUGUAUCAUGUGUCAGCCAAAUGGGAGCCAGUUCUGUGGCAUGCCUGCAUGACGUGUCAGCCAUUGCUGAGCUAUGCCUGAACCUCGUGUGAGAGUGUCCUCAACCAUAUGUGACCCAAACGAGUCGUGUGAGAUCCCCGCCUGAAUUACACCUGAACCAUGUGUGAGCCAUGCAGGAACCUCAUGGGAGACACCCUUGAACCACAUCUGAAGAACCUGUGAAACACACAUG